GACAGAGGGGGCAAGCGUUGCUCGGAAUUAUUGGGCGUAAAGAGCUCGUAGGCGGUGUGUCGCGUCGGCCGUGAAAACCUGCAGCUUAACUGUGGGCGUGCGGGCGAUACGGGCAGACUAGAGUACUGCAGGGGAGACUGGAAUUCCUGGUGUAGCGGUGAAAUGCGCAGAUAUCAGGAGGAACACCGAUGGCGAAGGCAGGUCUCUGGGCAUUAACUGACGCUGAGGAGCGAAAGCAUGGGGAGCGAACAGG
rnacentral:rRNA from 1 species